rnacentral:rRNA from 1 species
UGGGGAAUUUUGCACAAUGGGGGAAACCCUGAUGCAGCGACGCCGCGUGAUUUAGAAGGCCUUCGGGUUGUAAAAAUCUUUUGUAUGGGAAGAAAAUGACAGUACCAUACGAAUAAGGACCGGCUAAUUACGUGCCAGCAGCCGCGGUAAUACGUAAGGUCCGAGCGUUGUCCGGAAUCAUUGGGCGUAAAGGGUACGUAGGCGGAUAAGCAAGUUAGAAGUGAAAUCCUAUAGCUCAACUAUAGUAAGCUUUUAAAACUGCUCAUCUUGAGGUAUGGAAGGGAAAGUGGAAUUCCUAGUGUAGCGGUGAAAUGCGCAGAUAUUAGGAGGAAUACCGGUGGCGAAGGCGACUUUCUGGCCAUAAACUGACGCUGAGGUACGAAAGCGUGGGUAGCAAACAGGAUUAGAUACCCUGGUAGUCCACGCCGUAAACGAUGAGUGUUAGGUGUCUGGAAUAAUCUGGGUGCCGCAGCUAACGCAAUAAACACUCCGCCUGGGGAGUACGCACGCAAGUGUGAAACUCAAAGGAAUUGACGGGGACCCGCACAAGCAGCGGAGCAUGUGGUUUAAUUCGACGCAACGCGAAGAACCUUACCAAGUCUUGACAUAUUACGGAGGGAAUUAGAGAUAGUUCCUUACUUCUUCGGAAGACUGUAAUACAGGUGGUGCAUGGUUGUCGUCAGCUCGUGUCGUGAGAUGUUGGGUUAAGUCCCAUAACGAGCGCAACCCCUAUAUUUAGUUACCAUCAUUAAGUUGGGGACUCUAGAUAUACUGCCGGUGAUAAACCGGAGGAAGGUGGGGAUGACGUCAAAUCAUCAUGCCCUUUAUGACUUGGGCUACACACGUGCUACAAUGGCAGGUACACAGGGAAGCGAGACUGCGAAGUUAAGCAAAACUCAAAAAGCCUGUCCCAGUUCGGAUUGCACUCUGCAACUCGAGUGCAUGAAGUUGGAGUUGCUAGUAAUCGUGGAUCAGAAUGCCGCGGUGAAUGCGUUCCCGGGUCU